UUCCCACAGAUUUCAUUUUUCACACUCUUCACCUGAUUUUGCCAUUUCUUCUUGUUCUUUGAUAGCCUCUAUUUCUUUUUCAUUCUCUGUAUCAUUCCUCUGUUUUUGCUUUUCUUUUUCUUUGCUCUCUCUCUCUCUGUUGCAGGCUCACCUUCUUCUGAUCAUUUACCUAUUGCAGGUAUCUGGGUUCUAACAUGUUGCAUGCGUUGGUUUUCACAUCUUUAGGCAUUUGCAUCUACUUCUAGAUGAAAGCUUCCUCCACCUUCUAAUGACGCGUGUAGUUGUAUUGAUCAGGUUAUGCUUUUUUCUCAUUCUUUUUCAUUCUUUCUUGUUCUAUCCCUAAUUUUUUCUCCUAUAUUCAUCUGCAAUCUUAGUUUGCUCUUCUCGGUUGAUGUGGGCCUUCUUCACUACGGCUUGUUUGUGUAUGCUUCCAUUUCGCUCCAGACCUGAUCGACAAUCUUCCCCUGUAAAGGGAAGACAUACGAGGACAUGUCAAAAAUUCGGUUUGGAUAUUCUCAGGCCAAAGGAAAAUUAUCAGUGUCAACAUAUUUGUCUUCUAUGGGCUCAUUUUGCUACAGAAGAGGGGUGCAAACUUCUCUAGUGAUGUGAGGAAUCAUCCAGCUGUUAUUUAUUGCAAGUGUUGGAAGGCAACAUUCAUGAAUAAUGUUAUCAAAGGCGUGCGUUUUAAAGAUGAAAACUGGAAGUUGAAAUACUAUGCAAUACAAAUAUGUAAAGGGGAAAAAUAAAUGGAUCCUGGUCUAAAUAUGUAUUUGAGUUUGAGAGGAACUCAUGCCAGCAGAAUCAUCAAAUCACAUUGUUAUUUAUGACAGGUGUGAGUAAUCAUCCAGUUGUUAUCUAUUGCAAGCAUGGGAAGGCAACAUUUAUAGAUAUUUUUGUCGAAUGCAUGAGUAUAGAAGUAUGAGAAAGAACUGUGUGUUUUGGAGGCAAAGAAGAUGACUUAGAUAAUGUCGAGAAGGCAAUAAUACGAGAUAAAAGGAAUACUAUGGCCAUCACUAUUUUGCGGGGAAAAAUAUGUUUCUGAUCAACAUAAUGUUGGAGGCCAUCGCAUUGAGAUAGCACAACACAAUUGCACCUUUGUGAAAGAAUGUUGUAGCGGAUUCUUCAUAAUCUGUCAAUUUAGAUCCUUUUGUUUUUUCGACACAAAUUGGGUGUGACUAAAUGUGAAUAAUAGGAGAACUUGUUCGGGGAAGUGUGUCUUUUGUAGGAGAAAGAAGAGGACUUAGAUAAUGGCGAAAAGGCAGUAGUAUGAGAAAAUUGAAAACUUUAGUCCAUGAUCAUGUUUUGGUGGGUUUUUCGUUCCAUGAUGACUAAAUUAUUGAACCAAUAUUAGAUGCAUAUGUCGCGCUUUAAGCAGAAAAAAAUUGUGUAGAGAAGAUUGGAAAAUAUUGCCUAAACUAUAACAUCAAUUGAAAGAAGUUGUUGUCGAAUCUUAUCAUA